rnacentral:rRNA from 1 species
GACAGAGGGUGCAAACGUUGUUCGGAAUCAUUGGGCGUAAAGCGCGUGUAGGCGGCUUGGCAAGUCGGUUGUGAAAGCCCGGGGCCCAACCCCGGAACUGCAUCUGAAACUGCCUGGCUAGAGUCCCGGAGAGGAAGGCAGAAUUCCCGGUGUAGGGGUGAAAUCCGUAGAUAUCGGGAGGAAUACCAGCGGCGAAGGCGGCCUUCUGGACGGUGACUGACGCUGAGACGCGAAAGCGUGGGGAGCAAACAGG